rnacentral:lncRNA from 1 species
UGAUUCAAAUAUGUUGUGAUCUCCUUCCUUGUUUAGAUUCUGCCAAGAAUUUAAUUUUUGAAUUCAAAUCUUUUCUUGCCACAUGUCCAUUCAUGAUGGAUAGGCUAAUUUCAUGCCAUGUCAAUGUCUAUUAUUUUUCAUUUACAGAAAUCUACGUAAACACAUAUAUAGCCACAGUUCAUAUAGAGUUUGGCAUGGCCAGCUACCAUGGCUCGGCUAAGCAACAAGAAGAUCUAAGGGGCCCACC